rnacentral:rRNA from 1 species
CCUGAUGCAGCCAUGCCGCGUGUGUGAAGAAGGCCUUCGGGUUGUAAAGCACUUUCAGUUGUGAGGAAAGGUUGGUAGUUAAUACCUGCCAGCUGUGACGUUAACAACAGAAGAAGCACCGGCUAACUCCGUGCCAGCAGCCGCGGUAAUACGGAGGGUGCGAGCGUUAAUCGGAAUUACUGGGCGUAAAGCGCACGCAGGCGGUUUGUUAAGCUAGAUGUGAAAGCCCCGGGCUCAACCUGGGAUGGUCAUUUAGAACCGGCAGACUAGAGUCUUGGAGAGGGGAGUGGAAUUCCAGGUGUAGCGGUGAAAUGCGUAGAUAUCUGGAGGAACAUCAGUGGCGAAGGCGGCUCCCUGGCCAAAGACUGACGCUCAUGUGCGAAAGUGUGGGUAGCGAACAGGAUUAGAUACCCUGGUAGUCCACACCGUAAACGCUGUCUACUAGCUGUUUGUGAAUUUAAUUCGUGAGUAGCGAAGCUAACGCGAUAAGUAGACCGCCUGGGGAGUACGGCCGCAAGGUUAAAACUCAAAUGAAUUGACGGGGGCCCGCACAAGCGGUGGAGCAUGUGGUUUAAUUCGAUGCAACGCGAAGAACCUUACCUACACUUGACAUGCAGAGAACUUUCCAGAGAUGGAUUGGCGCCUUCGGGAACUCUGACACAGGUGCUGCAUGGCUGUCGUCAGCUCGUGUCGUGAGAUGUUGGGUUAAGUCCCGCAACGAGCGCAACCCUUGUCCUUAGUUGCCAGCAUUUAGUUGGGCACUCUAAGGAGACUGCCGGUGACAAACCGGAGGAAGGUGGGGACGACAUCAAGUCAUCAUGGCCCUUACGUGUAGGGCUACACACGUGCUACAAUGGCA